CCUACGGGGGGCAGCAGUGGGGAAUAUUGGACAAUGGGCGAAAGCCUGAUCCAGCCAUGCCGCGUGUGUGAAGAAGGCCUUCGGGUUGUAAAGCACUUUCAGUGGGGAAGAAAGCUUUGGGGCUAAUACCCUCGAGGAAGGACAUCACCCACAGAAGAAGCACCGGCUAACUCCGUGCCAGCAGCCGCGGUAAUACGGAGGGUGCGAGCGUUAAUCGGAAUUACUGGGCGUAAAGCGCGCGUAGGCGGUCUGAUAAGCCGGUUGUGAAAGCCCCGGGCUCAACCUGGAAACGGCAUCCGGAACUGUCAGGCUAGAGUGCAGGAGAGGAAGGUAGAAUUCCCGGUGUAGCGGUGAAAUGCGUAGAGAUCGGGAGGAAUACCAGUGGCGAAGGCGGCCUUCUGGACUGACACUGACGCUGAGGUGCGAAAGCGUGGGUAGCAAACAGGAUUAGAUACCCGGGUAGUC
rnacentral:rRNA from 1 species